rnacentral:rRNA from 1 species
UACGUAGGGUGCGAGCGUUAAUCGGAAUUACUGGGCGUAAAGCGUGCGCAGGCGGUUCGUUGUGUCGGCGGUGAAAGCCCCGGGCUUAACCUGGGAAUGGCCGUCGAAACUGGCGAACUGGAGUGUGGCAGAGGGGGGUGGAAUUCCGCGUGUAGCAGUGAAAUGCGUAGAGAUGCGGAGGAACACCGAUGGCGAAGGCAGCCCCCUGGGCCUGCACUGACGCUCAUGCACGAAAGCGUGGGGAGCAAACAGG